GAUGAACGCUGGCGGCGUGCCUAAUACAUGCAAGUCGAGCGGAAACACGAUGAGCUUUCUCCCUUAACGUUAGCGGCGGGCGGGUGAGUAACACGUACAUCACCUUCUUCUAUGUCUGGGGGAACUUCGUGGAACCGGUGACAAUAACAGCUCAUAUGUUCAACCGCAUGGUGCAGUAGUGCUAGGCAGCUUUCCUGUCUCUUUUAGAUGAUUCCGCGUCGCAUUAGCUAGUUGGUAAGGUAACGGCUUACCAAGGCGACGAUGCGUAGCCGAUCUGAGAGGGUGAUCGGCCACACUGGAACUGAGACACGGUCCAGACUCCUACGGGAGGCAGCAGUGGGGAAUAUUGCGCAAUGGGCGAAAGCCUGACGGAGCAACGCCGCGUGGGUGAAGAAGGCCUUCGGAUCGUAAAGCUCUUUUAUUGGGGAAGAACAGAUGUGUAAGAAUACCUGGACGUCUUGACGGUACCUAAACAGAAAGCAACGGCUAACUACGUG
rnacentral:rRNA from 1 species